ACUGAAUUCUCGUGGGUCUGCACUGACAACACUGACCGCUCCAGGGCCAAUUGUUCAUUUUGAAAUUGAAAUUCUGUAGCACCAUGAGAUUCAGCUC
rnacentral:pre_miRNA from 2 species